AUGAACGCUGGCGGCGUGUCUAAGGCAUGCAAGUCGUGUGGGUUAAGACCCACGGCAAACGGGAGAGUAACGCAUUGGUAACUUACCCUGGGGACGAGAAUAAUCCUGCGAAAGCGGGAAUAAUACUCGAUAUUAGUGGGGGGGCACAAGUCAUUCCCACUUAAAGCCGCAAGGCGCCUUUGGAGAGGCCUAUGUCCUAUCAGCUAGUUGGUGAGGUAAAAGCUCACCAAGGCUACGACGGGUACCGGGUGUGAGAGCAUGGCCCGGCUCACUGGGACUGAGACACUGCCCAGACUCCUACGGGAGGCUGCAGUCAAGAAUAUUCCUCAAUGGCCGAAAGGCUGAAGGAGCGACGCCGCGUGCAUGAUGACGCCCCUCGGGGUGUAAAAUGCUUUUAACUGGGACGAAACAAUGACGGUACCAGUUGAAUAAGGGGCUGCUAAUCACGUGCCAGCAGCAGCGGUAAUACGUGAGCCCCGAGCGUUAUCCGGAUUUAUUGGGCGUAAAGCGCAUGUAGGUGGUUUGUCACAUCUUCUGUUAAAUCCCGAAGCUCAACUUCGGAAUCGCGGAAGAGAUGGGUAAACUAGAGACCGGAAGAGGCAAGUGGAAUUGCUGGUGUAGGGGUUAAAUCCGUUAAUAUCAGCAGGAACACCCAAUGCGAAGGCAACUUGCUAGGACGGUUCUGACACUCAGAUGCGAAAGCGUGGGGAGCGAAUGGGAUUAGAUACCCCAGUAGUCCACGCCGUAAACGAUGGAUGCUAAGCAUUGGAAGUAUCGACCCUUUCAGUGCUGCCUACCUAAGUUAACACCUUAAGCAUCCCGCCUGGGGAGUACGAGCGCAAGCUUAAAACUCAAAGGAAUAGACGGGGACCCGCACAAGCGGUGGAGCAUGUGGUUUAAUUCGACAAUAAGCGUGGAACCUCACCAAGGUUUGACAUAUAGCUGCAGACCCCUGGAAACAGGGGAGCCUUCGAGGGUGCUAUACAGAUGCUGCAUGGUUGUCGUCAGCUCGUGUCGUGAGAUGUACCGUUAAGUCGGAAAACGAGCGCAACCCUUAUCUUAUGUUUUACAUGUCAUAAGAAACUGCCCGUUUUAAAUGGGAGGAAGGUGGGGAUGACGUCAAAUCAGCAUGGUUCUUACAUCUUGGGCUACACACGUGCUACAAUGGAAAGUACAAAGGGACGCCAAACCGUAAGGUGGAGCAAAUCCCCCAAAACUUUUCUAAGUUCGGAUUGAGGUCUGAAACUCGACCUCAUGAAGCUGGAAUCGCUAGUAAACGCGCAUCAGCCACGGCGCGUUGAAUACGUUCUCGGGUCUUGUACUCACCGCCCGUCACACCAAGAGAGUCGGGGGCGCCCGAA
rnacentral:rRNA from 1 species